rnacentral:rRNA from 1 species
GACGAACGCUGGCGGCGUGCUUAACACAUGCAAGUCGAGCGGUAAGGCCCUUUCGGGGGUACACGAGCGGCGAACGGGUGAGUAACACGUGGGUGACCUGCCCUCAGCUCUGGGAUAAGCCUGGGAAACCGGGUCUAAUACCGGAUGUGACUCCAUGACGCAUGUUGUGGGGUGGAAAGCCUUGUGCGGCUGAGGAUGGGCCCGCGGCCUAUCAGCUUGUUGGUGGGGUGAUGGCCUACCAAGGCGACGACGGGUAGCCGGCCUGAGAGGGCGACCGGCCACACUGGGACUGAGACACGGCCCAGACUCCUACGGGAGGCAGCAGUGGGGAAUCUUGCGCAAUGGGCGAAAGCCUGACGCAGCGACGCCGCGUGAAUGAUGAAGGUCUUAGGAUUGUAAAGUUCUUUUGCCCGUGACGAUGAUGACGGUAACGGGAGAAUAAGCCCGGCUAACUUCGUGCCAGCAGCCGCCGUAAG